CGCCGGAAGAUGACCGGGACCGUUCCGUCUCCUUUCCUCACGGUGUCGGCGUUCGAGAGAAAACAACCGGGUCCUCGUGCCUCUUCACCGAUUCCGUAGCGCGGGAUUUCACGUCGAAGAACACCACCCUCGCGCAACACACACACACAUUUAUCGCACACCAUCGCACGCCGUACCCGGCCUCUUCUCGAUCGCUUAUCCGCGGAAACUUGAACGUUCCGCUGUUUACCGGACAGCCUGCAGUCAUCGCGGACCGAUGUGAGCGCGGAGUUUGUUUAAAAACAUCCACUUCGAUCAGCCGUUCGAGGCGAGCUCUCGCGAAAGGCUUGAAAUCAAAGCCGAUAGUUAUCUCGCCGGCGAGAGGAACGUUACCGAGAAAGAAAGCAAAGAUUGUGGCCGGCCGCGCGCUUGGGCCGAUUCGAGUGAAAUAAUUAAAUAAGCUCUGGGCCAACGGCAGAAAUCGGAAUUUCCGCGAGAUUUCCACUCUAGACACUUCAGAGGGCGGUUUAUCGAUUGGAACGCACAGCGGAAGCAUGUUCCGUGUGCUUACCCUCAAAGACCGUGGAGGAAGACCGCGUGGAACCAUCCAGCGCGGGUACCGGACUCCUCUCGCUGAAUCAUUUUCCUGUGUUCUGCGCACCCAGUGUGACCGAGCGCAUCGUGCACGAGGGCGGAGGCCGAUUCUUUGCGCAAAAAUAAAUCGACUCGACGCAGAAGCGCUUCGAUCGAAACGCUCUUUACGAAAAUUCCUUUUCACGUGUUAACCCUCCUAUAAUGUUUUGUAAAACUUGCACCGAACGGGUUACUAAAAAAAACACGCGCGUAUCUUUCGAAACUGCACUAUAAUACAAUGGUUUUGAAGCUUAUUAUAUGUAUGCAUGAAAGGAUAUAAUAAUUAAUACGAAAAUACAAAAGAAAGUAAUGUAUUUCCAAAAUUCAAUAAACCUGAUUUCAAUAACGUGGUAAUUUAACAAGUUACUCGCAUAAACCUGUUAGAAGUUACAUGUGAAAAUAAUUAAUAUGGAAAUACAAAAGAAAGUAAACAUCUGUUUGCAGAGUUCAAUUUAAUUUCGAGGAGAUGAUAAUUAAAAAAGUUAUACGUCUAAGCCUGCGAAAAGCUGUAUGCGAAUAUUGUAAUAAUGAAAAAAGAAUGUAAAAAUUGAUUUGCAGAAUUCUAUGAAUUUGAUUUCAAUAAA